ACAAGAGUGGCGUACAGGCACACGCACCUGAUUUAGAAUCAGGGUUUUUAGAGCUGGAGUCUCUUCUCUUGUAC
rnacentral:tRNA from 1 species